GUGGUCUGGCCAGCCACCUAUAAAAGGGCGCCAAGUCGGUGGAAGGAUGAUAUUUUGCUUCCAUCUUCAGCCAGAGGUGAGUCCAACACCCUCCCUAGUUGACUUUCAUGAUCUUGCUCAAAUCUUGUAAGGUUUUGAAGAGUUUUCAUGUGUUUUUGAAGGUUUUGAGAGUUUUGAGCAAAAGAACCAAGUUUUGAAGUUUGGAGAGUUGUGAGGAGAUUUCUCCAUAGCUCCACGUUAGGAUCACUUGAUCUCUUGUUUGGAAGAGGUAAGUAAAGAUCCAGAACCUCUUUUACUGAUUUUUGAAGGUUUUAUGGGAGUUGUAUGGAUAGUAUGUAUGAAUAGGGUUUUGGUUGAGGUUUUGCAUGAUUUUGUGUUUAAGCAUGUUUAAGUGUUGUUUGAUAUGUUUCUUGGGGUUAUAAGUGAGUUUUAGGCCCUUUUUAUGCAUGUUUUAUGGUAUGUGCUAGUUGGGAGUAGUUGAUAUGCAUGUUGGGUAAGUUUGGGGGAAAGGUUUGCAUGAAACAGAGCAGGGUUCUGCCCAACGGGCAAACCAGGUUCGGCCGCCGAAGGAAGGUUCGGCCGCCGAACCCCUUGUGGAGGCAGUUUCGGCUGCCAAAGCUUGCCCCCGAAAGCUAGGCUUUCGGUUUAGAAAGGGACUUUCGGCCGCCGAAAGAGGGUGUUUGGCCGCCAAAAGCUUGUGAGUUUCGUCUCUGGACGAGACCUUCGGCCGCCAAAGGUGCCGCCGAACAUGCAUGAGUUUCGUCUCUGGAGAGGGGUUUCGGCCGCCAAACCUGCCGCCGAAAGUGCCCUGUCCAGCUUUCUUUUGCAUGUUGUAUGUGAUUGUUUGGGGAUCGUUUAGAGGGUUUUUUGGGGAGUUUCUUAGAGAUGUUCUUGAGUUAGUUUGGUCCCUCAUUUGAGUCCACCUGUGUAGGUACGGACCAGAGGAACCCCAGAGAG
rnacentral:lncRNA from 1 species